rnacentral:lncRNA from 1 species
AGGGCCUCUGGAACUCGAUCAUGACAGCAUCUGUCUGUGUCUGCUCCCACCAGAUGGAUGAGCUGGGAGGUAAGGCAUGUGGCUUCCUCCUGGCAAUGUCUGUCUGUGAAUGUGACCCUGCAGCUGUCUGCCCACCUCCCCCAUACUUCAUCUCUCUAGAAGGAGUUUCCAGCGGUAACCUGACCUCACGGCGAUUCCUUCUGCUGAGUGCGAAGAAGGCUGUCACGGAGGAAGAGUGAAGGUGGAGCAUGCGCAGCACUGACUUCUGCAUAACCGAGGAUGCUCGUGUUCUGCUAACGUUGGCAGCGGCUGCACUCAGUACAGAGCAUCUUAAGGAGGUGCUAGGAAUCUGCCUGUCAUCAUCAUCUUCCUCACCAUCGUGGUCUGUACCCCAUCAAUAACCUUUUGAUUAGUAACUAUUAACAAACUCCCAAAUAAGUGCUAUUUUUCUUUAGGUUGAUUACAGCAGUGAGGAAAUUAGCUGCUAAAACAGAAGAGUGAUAGAGGGUUGCCUCUGUGGUCACCCUUACAUGCAGUUCUUGGGCUGUUGGAACUGUGGGAAAGGUUGGAGAUGUGAGCAGAAGAGCCUGAGCCUUCUCAGGGAGCACAGCUUUGUGGGCAUUGGCCUGUACAGGUGACCCGUCUACACCGUCCUGUACUGGUGAUCUGUCUACACUGUCCUGCACAGGUGACCCAUCUACCCCGUCCUAUCCUGGCGACCCAUCUACACUGUCCUGUCCUGGUGACCCAUCUACACUGUCAUGUACUGGUGACCCAUCUACGCUGUCCUGUACUGGUGACCUGUCUACACCGUCCUGUACUGGUGACCUGCCUACACCAUCCUGUACUGCUGACCCGUCUACACCGUCCUGUACUGGUGACCCAUCUACACCGUCCUGUACUGGUGAUUUGUCUACACUGUCCUGCACAGGUGACCCAUCUACCCCGUCCUAUCCUGGCGACCCAUCUACACUGUCCUGUCCUGGUGACCCGUCUACACUGUCCUGUUCUGGUGACCCGUCUACACCGUCCUGUACUGGUGAUCUGCCUACACUGUCCUGCACAGGUGACCCAUCUACACUGUCCUGCACUGGUGACCCAUCUACACUGUCCUGUACUGGUGACCCGUCUACACUGUCCUGCACUGGUGACCCAUCUACACUGUCCUGUACUGGUGACCCAUCUACACUGUCCUGCACUGGUGACCCAUCUACACUGUCCUGCACAGGUGACCCGUCUACACUGUAUUGUGGCAGGCUCCAUCAUUAUGCUUAACUACAGUUUAUUUAUACCUUCUGGUUCUAGACAACUUCUCAUUUUCAUAUAACAAUGAAAAAUUCAUUAGAUCUAGAGCCUCCACACUCAAUAACAUUACCAACAUUGUUCAAGAGUCCAAAGUCUCUUUUGAGACUUAAGAUAAGCUCUUCUAUCAAUCAAAAGAUAACUUACAUACUUUUGGGGCUAGAAGGCUACAGAGUAAGGAUUCCCAUUUAACACCUCCAUCCUAAAAGGGAGGCAUGGGGGAAUAAAAGGAGAAUAGAGACAAAGCAAGAUCCAAACCCAGAAGGGCAGGUGGCUCAAGAUGGAAUCCAAUAGCUUUGGGUAGCCUUGCCCUGAAGUAAACAUGGCCCUGCUCCACACUAUGCCUGCAUCUGUCCUCAGUGGAUGUUGCACGGUCUGCCAUCUUCGAUGUUUUGAAGUCUCCACUGCGUGCUGGUGUUUGGCUUCCCAGCUCCACGAGGUCACCUUUCAGGGCUUCCUUGCAUGAGAUAAGACAUGCAGUUUUCUAGAACCUUGGUGUCAGCCUUCACAACGGUAUCACUCUUGCUUGGUUCACAUCUACCAAGCUAGUGCCAUGUAGAUGGUACUCUUACAUUCUGUCACCAUCAGUAUGAGGUGUGGCCUGGCCUCCUUGCACUGUAGACACAGUGGCCUCUGUGAGCUUCCGAGGAGGCUCAGUCUGAGAAAUGCUUGCCUAGGCAGCUGCUUACCAUCAUGAGACCCUUUCAGUGGCAUUCUCAGCUUAAGUUCUCUCCUUUAAAAGGAAUUUAUGUCUUCAAAAGCUUUCAUGGGUAUGGUCUUGCCCCCCAGGGUACCUUUCUUAUGGCCCAGCUUGGAUGUAAUCUCUUUACCAGUUAUAGCUGCUCUCAUAGCUUGUCUGCAUCUUAAAGCUCACUGUUCCUGUUUUAUUUCUGUUGCUAUGAGACAAAAAUAACUUGGAGAAGAAGAGGAGAUGCAGUCCAUUAUGGCUGGGACAAUGUGGUAGCGGAUGGGUGAGAAUGUCAGCCAUAUUGGAUCUGCACUCAGGAAAUAAGAAGUGAUGAAUGUUGGGACUCUGCCCACCAUGGUCUCUUUCUCCAGUCUGGGAACCCACCCCAUUGGAUGGUGCACCCACACUUAGAGUGGGACUUCACUACCCAGUUAAAACUUUCUGGAAAUGCCCCCCAGAGAUGACAUAUCUAGAGCUUUAUUUCUUAGAUGGUUCUAAUUACAGUCAAAUUGACAAUAAAGGUUAUCUACCACAACAUGGU